rnacentral:rRNA from 1 species
GACGAACGCUGGCGGCGUGCCUAAUACAUGCAAGUUGAGCGCUGAAGGUUGGUACUUGUACCAACUGGAUGAGCAGCGAACGGGUGAGUAACGCGUGGGGAAUCUGCCUUUGAGCGGGGGACAACAUUUGGAAACGAAUGCUAAUACCGCAUAAAAACUUUAAACACAAGUUUUAAGUUUGAAAGAUGCAAUUGCAUCACUCAAAGAUGAUCCCGCGUUGUAUUAGCUAGUUGGUGAGGUAAAGGCUCACCAAGGCGAUGAUACAUAGCCGACCUGAGAGGGUGAUCGGCCACAUUGGGACUGAGACACGGCCCAAACUCCUACGGGAGGCAGCAGUAGGGAAUCUUCGGCAAUGGACGAAAAGUCUGACCGAGCAAACGCCGCGUGAGUGAAGAAGGUU